UUUCUUCUGUACCUGGAGCGUUUUAGGUGAUAUGGUGAGCACCAUACUCAGGGGAAUGGUGUGUGAACUUUAAAAUGUUUUUCUUGGUUUGGCAUUUUGAGCCUGUUUUCAUUUUUAAAAGCCUAUAUUUUUUCAGUUUAUCUGCCCACACAACUGAAAUGGUAUAUUUCUCGGGUAAAAUUUAGUGGAGAAUUCAGUAAAGUACUUAGUAUUCAUUCUUUUCCAUUUCUUCAUCACAAAAAAGCUAACUUUCGUGAAAGUCAUAUAAAAGAGAAAUUAAGCCGAUGGAUCAUUUUAGGAAAUUGCAGGUUCGGGAGGUUCUGGUAUGAAAACAUGUGACCAAGACCUGGCUGGCUCUAACAGCUGCAGUAACCUAGAUUGGACUCCCCCAAACUCGUCCUAAAACGCUUUUUCCCUCUCCUUCCUAGACACUCUUUCAUCCUCGAGGACCUCGAACCCCGCUUUCUGCCAGAUGUCGACAGUUAUUUCUAAAAUGGUAGUUGAAGCCUCUCAUGAAGCCAACCUUCUCCAUGUGCGAGCUUGCCUGCACUGCGUCAUUCUAGUGAA